rnacentral:piRNA from 1 species
UGGAUGACUGCAGCUUUGGGCUAAAC